GGAGGGUUGGCCGAGCGGUUGAAGGCGGCGGUCUUGAAAACCGCUGUGGGCUUCGGCCCACCGGGGGUUCGAAUCCCUCACCCUCCGCCA
rnacentral:tRNA from 3 species